UACGUAGGUGACCAGCGUUGUCCGGAUUUACUGGGCGUAAAGAGCGCCCUGGCGGUCGUUCAAGUCGAGUGUGAAAGCCCCCGGCUCAACUGGGGAGGGUCACUUGAUACUGAUCGACUCGAAGGCAGGAGAGGGAAGCGGAAUUCCCGGUGUAGUGGUGAAAUGCGUAGAUAUCGGGAGGAACACCUGUGGCGAAAGCGGCGCACUGGACCAUAACUGACGCUGAGGCGCGAAAGCUAGGGGAGCAAACAGG
rnacentral:rRNA from 1 species